UCGGAUGUGGUGCACGGUGCACGUCAGCGUCAAAUAAACGAUGGUCGCAUUUGUAAUCGCUGAAGUCCGGGGUUCGACUCCCCGCGUCCGAA